GACAGAGGCCUCAAGCGUUUAGGCGGAAUCACUGGGCUUAAAGCGUGUGUAGGCGGAUCGUUAAGUGUCUUGUGAAAUCCCACGGCUCACCCGUGGAACUGCUGGGCAUACUGGCGAUCUUGGGCCAACUAGGGGCAGCCGGAACAAGCGGUGGAGCGGUGAAAUGCGUAGAUAUCGCUUGGAACGCCAAAGGUGAAAACAGGCUGCUGGGGUUGUGCCGACGCUGAGAACACGGAAAGCCAGGGGAGCAAACGGG
rnacentral:rRNA from 1 species